rnacentral:rRNA from 1 species
UACGAGUGCCCCGAGCGUUAUCCGGAAUUAUUGGGCGUAAAGGGUGUGUAGGCGGUAGUGUUAGUCUUCUGUCAAAUUCUUCGGCUUAACCGGGGGCAUGCAGAGGAAACGGCACAACUAGAGGAUGCGAGAGGUGAAUGGAACUCAUGGAGUAGGGGUGAAAUCCGUUGAUAUCAUGGGGAACACCAAAAGCGAAGGCAAUUCACUGGCGCACUCCUGACGCUGAAACACGAAAGCGUAGGUAGCGAAUGGG